rnacentral:rRNA from 1 species
AAUAGAUACCCCGGUAGUCCACGCCGUAAACGAUGAGUGCUAAGUGUUAGGGGGUUUCCGCCCCUUAGUGCUGCAGCUAACGCAUUAAGCACUCCGCCUGGGGAGUACGGUCGCAAGACUGAAACUCAAAGGAAUUGACGGGGGCCCGCACAAGCGGUGGAGCAUGUGGUUUAAUUCGAAGCAACGCGAAGAACCUUACCAGGUCUUGACAUCCCACUGACCGCUAUGGAGACAUAAUUUUCCCUUCGGGGACAGUGGUGACAGGUGGUGCAUGGUUGUCGUCAGCUCGUGUCGUGAGAUGUUGGGUUAAGUCCCGCAACGAGCGCAACCCUUGAUCUUAGUUGCCAUCAUUUAGUUGGGCACUCUAAGGUGACUGCCGGUGACAAACCGGAGGAAGGUGGGGAUGACGCCAAAUCAUCAUGCCCCUUAUGACCUGGGCUACACACGUGUUACAAUGGACGGUACAAACGGUUGCCAACCCGCGAGGGGAGCUAAUCCGAUAAAACCGUUCUCAGUUCGGAUUGUAGGCUGCAACUCGCCUACAUGAAC